AGGGGCGGAGCCUGGCGCCGCUCACCUGGAAGGCGGGGCGCGGGCCCCUGGCUGCCAGGUGGGUGCCUGGAAGAAGCAGCUGUCUGUUUGCAGCUCCGGGUGCCCGCGGGGUGCAAUGCUCCUGGAGGGCAGGAAGCCAGAAAAGGGUUUCGUUUUCGCUCUGUACGAAGGCUCUGGAGAACUGACCAACCCUUUCUCCUGGACGUCAGUGGCUGUGGUCCUGAGGCGUCAGACCUCGAAGAUGUAUACAGCUGCAUCACAUGGCGCCGCUAGUGCGCAGGACAGAAAGCCGGGCAGGCAGCCUGGCUGAGAGCCCAGAGCGUCACCUACCCACACCUGGCUUGGCCCUGCUGUGGAAGACGGGACUGGCUUCAGCAAGGGUAGAAACCUCCUUUGUCCAGCCGUCUCGCAGAGGAUCUCACCCAGCUCUCCUCACAAGGUUCUCAGCGAUACUUCUGAAGAUGAAGUCAGAAGGCUCACAUGUUUUUUCUCCAGUACUACUUGAAAUGUGGAAGUGGGAGAAAGAAAAGCCGAUAUGGGAUGCAAAGUACUCCUGCUGCACCAUUUGA
rnacentral:lncRNA from 1 species